rnacentral:rRNA from 1 species
CAGUCGCCACGGUAAUACGUAGGGUGCGAGCGUUAAUCGGAAUUACUGGGCGUAAAGCGUGCGCAGGCGGUUCGUUAAGACAGAUGUGAAAUCCCCGGGCUUAACCUGGGAACUGCAUUUGUGACUGGCGAGCUAGAGUAUGGCAGAGGGGGGUAGAAUUCCACGUGUAGCAGUGAAAUGCGUAGAGAUGUGGAGGAAUACCGAUGGCGAAGGCAGCCCCCUGGGCCAAUACUGACGCUCAUGCACGAAAGCGUGGGGAGCAAACAGGAUUAGAUACCCUCGUAGUCCCUGUCUCUUAUAC